GACGAACGCUGGCGGCGUGCUUAACACAUGCAAGUCGAACGAAGCUUGAUUACGGAUUCUUCGGAUGAAGUAUGAUAUGACUGAGUGGCGGACGGGUGAGUAACGCGUGAGUAACCUGCCCUUCAGAGGGGGAUAGCGUUUGGAAACGAACGGUAAUACCGCAUAAUGUAUUUUGACCGCAUGAUCGACAUACCAAAGAUUUAUCGCUGAAGGAUGGACUCGCGUCUGAUUAGGUAGUUGGUGAGGUAACGGCCUACCAAGCCGACGAUCAGUAGCCGGAGUGAGAGGUUGAGCGGCCACAUUGUGACGGAGACACGGGCCAGACUCCUACGGGAGGCAGCAGUAGGGAAUAUUGCACAAUGGGCGCAAGCCUGAUGCAGCAACGGCGCGUGAAGGAAGACGGUUUUCGAAUAGUAAACGUCUGUUCUUAGUGAAGAAUAAUGACGGUAGCUAAGGAGCAAGCCACGGCUAACUACGUG
rnacentral:rRNA from 1 species